UCGAUCCUGCCGAGCGAGCGGGCUACCAUGUUUGAUUAGCUCCCAACAGCUCCAAAAGACAGUAAAUGAUAGAAAGGGUACAUCAAAUGGUUUAUUGACGCUUUGAUUACUUAUAAGCCAAGAAUUGCUGUGUGACAUGGGAGUGAACCAGAGAUGUUACGUUGGAGCGAGAGCGAGCGUUACAUUUUCCCUUUCUAUUUCUAUUUUAAUGCUUAAAAACAAGCGAAAUAAUUCAAUCUAAAGAUUGUGACAAAAACAAGGAAGCACACCAAAUAAAGCAGCGGCGCGUGAUGGAGAGGUUUUGGAUAUCGUUUCCGAACCCGGAUUUCGUUCGCCGAACCGGAUCCACCGUUUCCAAUGACGUUUACCGGCAGCAGUUGUAGUCCUUGGGGUUGAAGUUACUGAUGUGGUUGUUGACAGCCGUGGAAUCUUUCCGCGUUCCGGCACUGGUGGCACUGUUGCGAGAUCGUGCAUCUCUUCUCAGACAAAAAGCGCGCGAUGUCUUGUGUUGUUUUUCUCCUAACUUGAACCAAAUGGAACAUCUUUAUGUGCGGUGAGAUAUAAAAUGGGUGAUAAAAUAUUUAGAUUUCGCUUCCAUAAAAUGGUACAUGCUGAAGAAUUUUAAAUGUGUUUAGAAAAAACUGAAAUUUGAUAAGCAAUUUAUAGAAUGAAUUAACACUGGUUUUAGAGACAGACAGUCUCACAAGGAAUUCAUUCCGUCCGGGUGACUUUAUUGGUGGCUUGUGUCGAUCAAGGUUAACCGCCGCUAUUUAAGCGAACCUCUAAGGGCCUUAGAAUUGUGGGCCGUUGUAUUUUAACAUUUCGACCCAAGCU